rnacentral:rRNA from 1 species
UACGUAGGGACCAAGCGUUGUUCGGAUUUACUGGGCGUAAAGGGCGCGUAGGCGGCUUUGUAAGUCACUUGUGAAAUCUCCGGGCUUAACUCGGAACGGCCAAGUGAUACUGCAAUGCUAGAGUGCGGAAGGGGCAAUCGGAAUUCUUGGUGUAGCGGUGAAAUGCGUAGAUAUCAAGAGGAACACCUGAGGUGAAGACGGGUUGCUGGGCCGACACUGACGCUGAUGCGCGAAAGCCAGGGGAGCAAACGGG